rnacentral:rRNA from 1 species
GGGUUGUGAGGUUAAGCGACUAAGCGUACACGGUGGAUGCCCUGGCAGUCAGAGGCGAUGAAGGACGUGCUAAUCUGCGAUAAGCGCCGGUAAGGUGAUAUGAACCGUUAUAACCGGCGAUUUCCGAAUGGGGAAACCCAGUGUGACUCGUCACACUAUCAUUAACUGAAUCCAUAGGUUAAUGAGGCGAACCGGGGGAACUGAAACAUCUAAGUACCCCGAGGAAAAGAAAUCAACCGAGAUUCCCCCAGUAGCGGCGAGCGAACGGGGAGGAGCCCAGAGCCUGAAUCAGCAUGUGUGUUAGUGGAAGCGUCUGGAAAGGCGCGCGAUACAGGGUGACAGCCCCGUACACAAAAGCGCAUGUGCUGUGAGCUCGAUGAGUAGGGCGGGACACGUGGUAUCCUGUCUGAAUAUGGGGGGACCAUCCUCCAAGGCUAAAUACUCCUGACUGACCGAUAGUGAACCAGUACCGUGAGGGAAAGGCGAAAAGAACCCCGGCGAGGGGAGUGAAAAAGAACCUGAAACCGUGUACGUACAAGCAGUGGGAGCACCCUUUGGGGUGUGACUGCGUACCUUUUGUAUAAUGGGUCAGCGACUUAUAUUCUGUAGCAAGGUUAACCGUAUAGGGGAGCCGGAGGGAAACCGAGUCUUAACCGGGCGUUAAGUUGCAGGGUAUAGACCCGAAACCCGGUGAUC